UCGAUGCAAAUAAUUGAAAGA
rnacentral:piRNA from 1 species